UGGGAUUAAGGCUUAGUUAUUGUUAUAGCUGUUAUAUACUAACUCAACACAUAUCACAAAUGAAAAAGAAUCCAAAUUCAAACCAAAAUAUAGUAAAAAAAUAUAAAUAAUUAACAAACCAAAUACAAAAAAUAAUAAUAAAUUUAAAUUCACAAUAUCAAAACUCAUAUAAUUCUACAAUCAAAUCUAGGCAGAAAAAUUCAAAUAAACAAAAAAAUUGAAUAAAAUAUAACUGCACAAUCAAAUCCAAAUACAAAUUCAAGUAUAAAUCUGGAAUGGGAGCAGAUCUAGAGAAACCAUGGUUUAAACAAAAAGCAGAGACAUGAAAACAAAUCCCUAACCAAACAAGCAAUUGAGUGACAUUGCUAUAGUAGGAGCACCAAGAUCCAAUUCACCCUCAUAUGAA
rnacentral:misc_RNA from 1 species